AGAAAAUUGUAGAGAUCCUCUGAGUCCAAAUCUAUUAGAUGGAUACGAUGGUCCUCCAAUUGCAGACUUUGGGCUGAUGCAGACUUGGUAUUUACCUUUCCUAUAUCUCAGUAUUUUUUGCCUUUUGUUUUCCAUGUGCUUCUAGGGAUGAAGAAAAUUGGUUGCUGAAAAUGGUCAAGGAGUUCAUUAUGGGGAAAUGCCAGUGCAAGAUCUCCCUGUUCAGGAUUUAUAGGACUGGGGAAUGGUCAAAGGUUCCAUAAGGGUUGGGAGGAUGGUGAAACCGUCCACAAUGCUUUACCUUUCUACACAUUUUAGCUUUCAUUGCUUUGCAGCUGCUCCAGUAUGUGAAGUACAUCCUGACCUGGUACUGCUUAGAACAGGGAAAGUGUAUAAGUUGCAUAGUCCUAGUGUGAGAUAUUUGGCUUCUUUGUCGAUUUAUAUGAUUCUUCCAACACAACAAAGUGCUGAGCUUUCCCUGAAUUAGCAGUUAAAUAUGCAAGAUAUCCCCCAAAGAAAAUCCGUCGGAAAAAGUGAACCAAGAUUGGCCGAUCGAGAUGCUGAUGGGGAGUAUAUGACCGCUUUACCUGAUCAACCCUCCACAUCCAAAAUUGUAACUUCUAUGACUGAAAGCUUGAAUUCGCUAUUCAAUUGCUUGAAGCAUGCAUUAUCUCGCUAUGGUCAAGGAUUUGGUGCUAUAGCCCAUUUAAGUGUGAGAGAAGGAAAGUCACAUGGAAAAUGUUUGAAAGUCCCUUUUCCAAUACAAGUAGAAGAGCGUAAAACCAGUUAAAGCAUUGAGCAUUCCCAAUUUAGCCAGGUCAUCUGCAAUGCCACCCUGAGCAGCCCUUUGAAGGAUUUCAUCUCAUUUGAUAACUCUUGGCAUUUAAAGGAAGAUGGUUCUGGGUAAUAUCAGUGUACCCAUAGACUUGGUAAUAGUGAGCUGAUGCUAUAAGUUAACCAGAAACACCUAAAUGCUGAUAGAAUAACCUAUUAGAUUCUUGGUACUUGCAUUUUUCCUUUAACUCGUAUUAAAGGCAUUUGAUAGGCUUGUUCUUUCAGAUGUUCAUAAAGAUAUUAUAUUUUUUAAUUGCCCAGUUUGGAUCGUAUGCUAGAAUCUUGCUUUUACAUGGAACA